CGAACGAGGGCGUGUCACAACUCAUUCGGUCCCGCUGCCUAGAUGGGCGAGCCAACCAGAAGCGUGCUGCUGCCCUUUUCACUGCCACUAUGCGGCAGGUUCCAGGUUCUUGUUCUGUGACCAGAAGAAUGAGAUUUUUUUCCAAGCAUCAGUGACAGUGCUGGACUACACAGUGGAGGAACCUCGAAAACAUUUUGCUAAGUAAAAGAAGCUGGACAAAAAAUGGUCACAUGCUGUGUGAUUCCAUUUAUAUAAAAUAUCCAGCAUAGGGGAAAUCUAUAAAGAUAGAAAAUUGAUGCUUGACAGGGGCUGGGGAAACGGAGAUUGUGGAAUAAAUGCUUGAUACGCAUGGGAUUUCUAGAGAGGUGGUGAUUGUACAACAUUGUGAAUCUACAGAAUGUCACUGAAUGGUUCACUUUAAAAUGGUUAAUUUUAUGUUAUGUGAAUUCCCC
rnacentral:lncRNA from 10 species